rnacentral:lncRNA from 1 species
GAAAAAUAUCCCAUAAAAAUUGUGCCCCCUAGAGGGCGAGGGCCACGGGAAGGGGGAUCAGGAAAACAAGAAUCAGUCUCUAAGCUGGUCCUGGAGCAGCAUGACAGAUGUAUCUGAGCCCAAGCAGGAGAGGAGCCACAGGCCCAGGCUGGCAGAGUUGUGACUACUAGAAUCUCGAGUCACUGGGGCUCAGGGAGCCCUAACUUGGUGGCAGGUGACAAAUGUGGCACAAAGGAGAAAGGAGUCUUCUCCUUCCACAUAGAACACACUUGGCUUCAGUGCUUUGGGGGGAUUCGUGGACCACAGAGAAGCUUCCGCAUAUUUAUAGGCACUGGGGACCAGCAGGAAGUGGUGGUGAGACACUUUGAAACCCUCCACUGCAGACUUCACCCAGGGGGCAAGGCAGGAGAGAAUCCCUCUGUGGACAGCACUUGAGAGGAAAGGGCUUGUUCAUGACCACGUAUGAGGUCGCCAACCCAACCCUGUUCCUGAAGUUUCCCAGAAAUAGAUGGAGAGGUAAGGCCAGCUAGGCUGGAGCGCCAGCAUCAGUAGUAGGGGCAGGAGCUCACGCUAAACCCGGUUGGUGUGUCCUGGAGAAGCACAGGUGUCAUCUCCAGGGACCUUUCUCGACCAACUAAUUUAUGGAAAUGAGACAUUUGUAAUUGAUUUUAAUUCCCUCUUAGGGACUGUGAAAUUAAAAUGGAUUAAAUUUUGUCCAUCAGGAGCCUCAGGGAUUUAAUGUCCAAUUCUAAAACCUGAACAGGCCCUUUUGUUUUGCAAUUUGUGGACCAAUCCCUGGCUUCAUUUUAUUUGGCUUUGCUUUCACUUCCCCAUUUUCUGUUAUUUUUUUUUUUUUUGUGCUGUUAUGUACAUCUCUUAAAGCUGGUCAAAUCAUAUUUUGGGAUGGA